GAUGAACGCUAGCUACAGGCUUAACACAUGCAAGUCGAGGGGAAACGACUAUCCGAAAGACUUGCUUUUUGAUGGGCGUCGACCGGCGCACGGGUGAGUAACGCGUAUCCAACCUGCCCACCACUUGGGGAUAACCUUGCGAAAGUAAGACUAAUACCCAAUGACGUCUCUAGAAGACAUCUGAAAGAGAUUAAAGAUUUAUCGGUGAUGGAUGGGGAUGCCGUCUGAUUAGCUUGUUGCGGGGUAACGGCCCACCAAGGCGACGAUCAGUAGGGGUUCUGAGAGGAAGGUCCCCCCACAUUGGAACUGAGACACGGUCCAAAACUCCUACGGGAGGCAGCAGUGAGGAAUAUUGGUCAAUGGGCGAGAGCCUGAACCAGCCCAAGUAGCGUGCAGGAUGACGGCCCUAUGGGUUGUAAACUGCUUUUAUAAGGGAUAAAGUGGGCCAGCGUGGCUUUUGCAUGUACCGUAUGAAUAAGGACCGGCUAAUUCCGUG
rnacentral:rRNA from 1 species